rnacentral:rRNA from 1 species
GAUGAACGCUGGCGGCGUGCCUAAUACAUGCAAGUCGAGCGAACGGACGAGAAGCUUGCUUCUCUGAUGUUAGCGGCGGACGGGUGAGUAACACGUGGAUAACCUACCUAUAAGACUGGGAUAACUUCGGGAAACCGGAGCUAAUACCGGAUAAUAUUUUGAACCGCAUGGUUCAAAAGUGAAAGACGGUCUUGCUGCCACUUAUAGAUGGAUCCGCUCUGCAUUAGCUAGUUGGUAAGGUAACGGCUUACCAAGGCAACGAUGCAUAGCCGACCUGAGAGGGUGAUCGGCCACACUGGAACUGAGACACGGUCCAGACUCCUACGGGAGGCAGCAGUAGGGAAUCUUCCGCAAUGGGCGAAAGCCUGACGGAGCAACGCCGCGUGAGUGAUGAAGGUCUUCGGAUCGUAAAACUCUGUUAUUAGGGAAGAACAUAUGUGUAAGUAACUGUGCACAUCUUGACGGUACCUAAUCAGAAAGCCACGGCUAACUACGUG